UUCGCAAUGCCCGAAAGGGUGACGAAGCGACGCCGCGUGUGGGAAGAAGGCCUUCGGGUUGUAAACCACUGUCGGGAGUUAAGAAAUGUAAGGGUGUUAAUAGCGCCUUUACUUGACAAAGGCUCCGGAGGAAGCCACGGCUAACUCUGUGCCAGCAGCCGCGGUAAUACAGAGGCGGCAAGCGUUGUUCGGAAUUAUUGGGCGUAAAGAGCACGUAGGCGGCUGUGUAAGUCGGUCGUGAAAGCCUUCCGCUUAACGGAAGAACAGCGACCGAUACUGCAUAGCUAGAGUGCGGGAGGGGAGAGUGGAACUUCUGGUGGAGCGGUGAAAUGCGUAGAUAUCAGAAGGAACGCCGGCGGCGAAAGCGGCUCUCUGGACCGUAACUGACGCUGAGUGUGCGAAAGCUAGGGGAGCAAACGGGAUUAGAUACCCCGGUAGUCCUAGCCGUAAACGAUGGGCACUAAGUAGAGGGGUUUU
rnacentral:rRNA from 1 species